GUCUCAGGCCCUAUCAGCCUGAAGGCGCCCGAUCUCGUCUGAUCUCGGAAGCUAAGCAGGGUCGGGCCUGGUUAGGAUCUUGGAUGGGAGACC
rnacentral:rRNA from 1 species